rnacentral:tRNA from 1 species
GCGCCUGUAGCUCAGCUGGAUAGAGCGCUGCCCUCCGGAGGCAGAGGUCUCAGGUUCGAGUCCUGUCGGGCGCACCA